rnacentral:sRNA from 1 species
CUUGAAAAAACUCAACAGCUGCAGCUUUUCGAAGUGCGAGGCGCAAAUUGGACCCGUGCAAACAAGUUAAAUACCCUGAAGCUUUUCCCAGUGGUCGGAAAAUGGAUUUUUGGGCCAGCCGUGCACUGCUUUGUUUGAUACCAAAUAACGGCAAUUGUGCAGCUCUUGUUGCACAGAAAUUGCACUAGAGGGCGCCACAGUUCGGCCACAAAAUGUUGCCGCAGCAUGUUGCCAUUGAGUAGCUGACCCCAAACAGAAUCUGCAAAGGACAACAAACCGAUGCAUAACUAACGGCAUAAACAUAAACAUAAACUUAUGCGCCAUUUGUCAAGCGAGCAACAAAUUGCAUACCAAGGAGCAACACACACGCACACACACACACACACAUACCCUACGCCUGCUCCAGCCUUCUCUACGGCUUACACACACACGCACGCACACACCUUAUGCUGUUGGCUUUGUCGGCUCGGCUCUAGCGUUGGGUGUCACAGAUUAACGCCUUACUUGAAUUAUGGGCCAGCAGGAAAGCCUGGCCAGGCCGACCCCUGCGACCGGGCCAAACUACUCGACAAAUCCGAACAGAAACAAAAAGUCGACGCGUGGAAAAAUCAUGUAUAAAACAUAAGAGCGACAAACACGCACACACAUCUACUGGGUGGGAGGGGGUCUAUCGGAGCUGGCUCAAAGGCACGCAAGACUCUGGUGCAGGAGGCCAUAACACCUACCAUAUGUACGUCGCCAGAUGCCAGGCCCAGAACGGAGCCAGCGUGUGAGGCGUUUAAAAAUUGAAAACCAAUUUCGUAGCGAUUUAAAACACGAUGCCAUUCGAUUGGGUGGCGUUGGGCCUGGCACAUGUGUGUGUGUGUGCCGGCUCAUUGUGUGACUUUUCACACUUCCCUGGCCCGCCACUUGGGCUCAGUGUUUAGAUUGUGUUACCAAUAUUUAUGGCUCAGUGGGGAUACGCGCGACUUUUGGCUGGCGUGACUGCAGCUCAGGAUCGGGGCCAAGUCUAAUCGCCUGACCCCUUGGCGCAGCUUUUAGCUCUAAACUGGAUCUUAUGUGUGGAAGCGAGCGACUUUCUGUUGCACUGAGAACAGGAGGGGCACAUCGUCUCAUGAUGGAUAUGUCUAUGGCGCAACGAUGCAAUUUAUUGGCACUUCAUUUCAUAAUCAGUUUGCUGCACUCGCCUCGGGUCCAAUCAUAGCUGGAUAUUAAGUAGCUGCUUGUCCGCCGGCGGGAGUAAUUUGUCCAGCUGGGCAGCUGUGCACAAACUAUGCAUACGUACAUAUACAUAUGCAUAAUUAUGAAAGUAACGAGGCUGCAGGGUAGCUAAAGACGAUUAUGCACCUGACGCACCUGUAAGCAAAGAGCAGAUGGCUCGCAGGAUAACUGAAAAUCACCUUUGCUCAGUGCAAACGUCCAAACAUUGACCCAUUUUCUUUGUACAAACUGCG